AUAAGUAAUAAGAUUUUUAUAAAUAUUAUUUAAUAAAAGUCAAAUUUUAAAUAAAAACCAUAUUUAUCUUUUAAUCUUGUUACUUUUUUGUUUUGUGACAUCUGUACAAUCCCGUGCAAGGGCGGAAAAAAAAGGACGAAAAAACAAUGAAAGUGAUGACACAAGUCUGCUAACUCUUUUGUUAUUCUUUUCGAUAUGGUUGAUAAAUACAGGUCAACAAUAUGGCAAUACCAUUAUACACCAUUGCUAUUGUGGACUGCAAUAGAAUAGGUCAGCCAGUAAUGUAUAGUCUUGUUGAUAGAAAAUCAGAAUCAUUUCGAGAGAAUUCUUGAAGAUAUUCAUUGUUGGACUGGUUAUUUACUAAAAUCUGCCACGCUUGUUAUUGACAAAGAUAAUGCUGAAAUUUCUGCUAUAAAGACUGUUUUUCUAUAAAGUAGAAUUCUUUUCUGUUGAGUUCAUAUAGUGAAAGCAUUUGUUACAGAACUGAAAAAGUUGCCAGUGACUGAAAGAGAGCAAUAUUUAAUUUAUGAGGAGGCAUACACCAAAAACCAAAUCUUGUCAAUUCCCGUCAAAAAAUGGCACAGAAAGAGUGACAACUUAUACUUAGCGAAAUAAUACAGUUUUGUCAUAUUUAAAACCGAUAGCUUCAAUUCUCGCAAAUCUUUCUCAUUUAAGUUUUGUCAAUGCAUUAGAAUGGGUAAAGACGUUGGAAGAUCACAGCCGCACAACUCAGUGGAUGUCAACAAACUUAAGAACCCAAAGUAAUGGCUCGACAUAUUUUCAUAAAAAGAACUUUUCCGAAAUUGGUAACAAAUUUUAUCUCUUUGAA